AUGAUAGGCUUUAUUUUUACAGUUAUUGUCCACAUCUAUAUGGUAGGCUUUAUUUUUGUACUUAUAGCUUCAAAUAUAACAGUUAUACUACUCUUCGGAACAUCUGCAGGACUAAAGAGCACACCCAUAUACUUGCCACAUCUAUAUGCCCAUUUCUAUAUGGUAGACUUUAUUUUUGCAGUUAUAGCUUAAAAUGGAACAGUUAUACUGCUCACUGGAAUAUCUGUAAGGCUAAAGAGCACACCCAUAUACCUGCCACAUCUAUAUGUCC
rnacentral:lncRNA from 1 species